rnacentral:rRNA from 1 species
AGUAAAUAGAUACCCAGGUAGUCCACGCCGUAAACGAUGUCGACUUGGAGGUUGUGCCCUUGAGGCGUGGCUUCCGGAGCUAAACGCGUUAAGUCGACCGCCUGGGGAGUACGGCCGCAAGGUUAAAACUCAAAUGAAUUGACGGGGGCCCGCACAAGCGGUGGAGCAUGUGGUUUAAUUCGAUGCAACGCGAAGAACCUUACCUACUCUUGACAUCCAGAGAACUUUCCAGAGAUGGAUUGGUGCCUUCGGGAACCCUGAGACAGGUGCUGCAUGGCUGUCGUCAGCUCGUGUUGUGAAAUGUUGGGUUAAGUCCCGCAACGAGCGCAACCCUUAUCUUUUGUUGCCAGCGGUUAGGCCGGGAACUCAAAGGAGACUGCCAGUGAUAAACUGGAGGAAGGUGGGGAUGACGUCAAGUCAUCAUGGCCCUUACGAGUAGGGCUACACACGUGCUACAAUGGCGCAUACAAAGAGAAGCGACCUCGCGAGAGCAAGCGGACCUCAUAAAGUGCGUCGUAGUCCGGAUUGGAGUCUGC